GAUGAACGCUGGCGGCGUGCUUAACACAUGCAAGUCGAACGAUGAAGCCCAGCUUGCUGGGUGGAUUAGUGGCAAACGGGUGAGUAACACGUAAGUAACCGGCCCUUGACUCUGGGAUAAGCCUGGGAAACGGGGUCUAAUACUGGAUAUGACUUUCAUCCCAUGGUGGGGGGUGGAAGGUUUUUUUGGUUUUGGAUGGACUGCCGGCCUAUCCGUUUGUUGGUGAGGUAAUGGCUCACCAAGGCGACGACGGGUAGCCGGCCUGAGAGGGUGACCGGCCACACUGGGACUGAGACACGGCCCAGACUCCUACGGGAGGCAGCAGUGGGGAAUAUUGCACAAUGGGCGCAAGCCUGAUGCAGCGACGCCGCGUGAGGGAUGACGGCCUUCGGGUUGUAAACCUCUUUCAGUAGGGAAGAAGCGAGAGUGACGGUACCUGCAGAAGAAGCGCCGGCUAACUACGUG
rnacentral:rRNA from 1 species